rnacentral:rRNA from 1 species
UACAGAGGGUGCGAGCGUUAAUCGGAAUUACUGGGCGUAAAGCGCGCGUAGGCGGCUUUUCAAGUCGAUUGUGAAAUCCCCGGGCUUAACCUGGGAACUGCAGUCGAGACUGUCUAGCUAGAGUAUGGGAGGGGGAAGUGGAAUUUCAGGUGUAGCGGUGAAAUGCGUAGAUAUCUGAAGGAACAUCAGUGGCGAAAGCGACUUCCUGGACCAAUACUGACGCUCAUGUGCGAAAGCGUGGGGAGCAAACAGG